rnacentral:rRNA from 1 species
AGAGUUUGAUCCUGGCUCAGAUUGAACGCUGGCGGCAGGCCUAACACAUGCAAGUCGAGCGGCAGCGGGAGGAAGCUUGCUUCCUCGCCGGCGAGCGGCGGACGGGUGAGUAAUGUCUGGGGAUCUGCCCGAUGGAGGGGGAUAACCACUGGAAACGGUGGCUAAUACCGCAUAACGUCGCAAGACCAAAGUGGGGGACCUUCGGGCCUCACACCAUCGGAUGAACCCAGAUGGGAUUAGCUAGUAGGUGGGGUAAUGGCUCACCUAGGCGACGAUCCCUAGCUGGUCUGAGAGGAUGACCAGCCACACUGGAACUGAGACACGGUCCAGACUCCUACGGGAGGCAGCAGUGGGGAAUAUUGCACAAUGGGCGCAAGCCUGAUGCAGCCAUGCCGCGUGUGUGAAGAAGGCCUUCGGGUUGUAAAGCACUUUCAGCGAGGAGGAAGGUGGUGAACUUAAUACGCUCAUCAAUUGACGUUACUCGCAGAAGAAGCACCGGCUAACUCCGUGCCAGCAGCCGCGGU